rnacentral:lncRNA from 1 species
UCCGCUUCGUCCACGGCUCCAACGAAAAGAGCCACGCCCUGGCAUUCGAAGCUCUGCAAUACUCGCACUCCAUAAAAAUGGUGCUGUCCCUCAACUUAUCCAUCAAAGAGGAAGAGGCGGUCAAGAAGAUUGACGAGGCCCGUGAUCGGCUCGCUGCCAACUACUUCAUCCUCACCGGCGUCGUCAGCGGCAAAAUAACCUGCGAACAGGACCGCAGGAGGAGAGCCACGCUGGACAAGCUUAGCGUAGACCUUCUUGCACGCAUUUGCAGUUAUCUCAGCCUGACGGAUGUGAUGGACUUGUAAAGCACCAAAAAGGCUGCGCUCUGCCUGCUUACUGCG